GUGGGGAAUCUUGCGCAAUGGGCGAAAGCCUGACGCAGCCAUGCCGCGUGAAUGAUGAAGGUCUUAGGAUUGUAAAAUUCUUUCACCGGGGACGAUAAUGACGGUACCCGGAGAAGAAGCUCCGGCUAACUUCGUGCCAGCAGCCGCGGUAAUACGAAGGGGGCUAGCGUUGCUCGGAAUUACUGGGCGUAAAGGGCGCGUAGGCGGACAGCUUAGUCAGAGGUGAAAGCCCAGGGCUCAACCUUGGAAUUGCCUUUGGUACUGGCUGGCUUGAGUUUGGGAGAGGUGAGUGGAAGUCCGGGUGUAGAGGUGAAAUUCGUAGAUAUUCGGAAGAACACCAGUGGCGAAGGCGACUCACUGGCCCAAUACUGACGUUGAGGCGCGAAAGCGUGGGGAGCAAACAGGAUUAGAUACCCUUGUAGUCC
rnacentral:rRNA from 1 species